rnacentral:rRNA from 1 species
CCUACGGGUGGCAGCAGUCGGGAAUUUUGGGCAAUGGGCGAAAGCCUGACCCAGCAACGCCGCGUGAAGGAUGAAAUUUUUCGGAAUGUAAACUUCGCAAACGAGAGUGGCGGUACCGUUUGUAAGCUCCGGCUAACUCCGUGCCAGCAGCCGCGGUAAUACGGGGGGAGCAAGCGUUGUUCGGAUUUACUGGGCGUAAAGGGCGCGUAGGCGGCGUGACAAGUCACUUGUGAAAUCUCCGGGCUUAACUCGGAACGGUCAAGUGAUACUGUCGUGCUAGAGUACAGAAGGGGCAACUGGAAUUCUCGGUGUAGCGGUGAAAUGCGUAGAUAUCGAGAGGAACACCUGCGGCGAAGGCGGGUUGCUGGGCUGAACUGACGCUGAGGCGCGAAAGCCAGGGGAGCGAACGGGAUUAGAUACCCUUGUAGUC